rnacentral:rRNA from 1 species
AGUGAAUAGAUACCCCGGUAGUCCUAGCCGUAAACGAUACUCGCUAGGUGUCGGCCACGGUGCGACCGUUGUCGGUGCCGUAGGGAAAGCCGUGAAGCGAGCCACCUGGGAAGUACGGCCGCAAGGCUGAAACUUAAAGGAAUUGGCGGGGGAGCACCACAACGGGUGGAGCUUGCGGUUUAAUUGGAUUCAACGCCGGAAAUCUUACCGGGACCGACAGCAAUAUGAAGGCCAGGCUGAAGACUUUGCCGGAUUAGCUGAGAGGUGGUGCAUGGCCGUCGUCAGUUCGUACUGUGAAGCAUCCUGUUAAGUCAGGCAACGAGCGAGACCCACGCCCACAGUUGCCAGCGUACUCUCCGGAGUGACGGGUACACUGUGGGGACCGCCGCUGCUAAAGCGGAGGAAGGAAUGGGCAACGGUAGGUCAGUAUGCCCCGAAUAUCCCGGGCUACACGCGAGCUACAAUGGUUGGUACAAUGGGUAUCUACCCCGAAAGGGGAUGGAAAUCUCCUAAAGCCAAUCUUAGUUCGGAUUGAGGGCUGCAACUCGCCCUC